rnacentral:rRNA from 1 species
UACAGAGGUCUCAAGCGUUGUUCGGAUUCAUUGGGCGUAAAGGGUGCGUAGGCGGCGCGGUAAGUCGGGUGUGAAAUCUUGGAGCUUAACUCCGAAACUGCAUUCGAUACUGCCGUGCUUGAGGACUGGAGAGGAGACUGGAAUUUACGGUGUAGCGGUGAAAUGCGUAGAUAUCAGGAGGAACACCGGUGGCGAAGGCGGCUAUCUGGACAGAGUCUGACGCUGAGGCGCGAAAGCUAGGGGAGCAAACAGG